rnacentral:pre_miRNA from 1 species
AUGUAGAGCAAUCUGUCUUUAAGUAGGGAUAAAUUACUCUAAAAGAAAUGAAUCCUAGAUAGUUUUUCCUUCAAGGCAAGUGUCUUGU